CAAAAGAGACCCAAUGCCCGGAGUAUCUGAGCCUGCUAAAGACUUUGUUCGACAGACGCUGGAUCCAAAUCCAAUCACACGGUUUACUACAACACACGUACUCGGUGGUGUCUGUCGGUAGGAUCUCCCUAAACAUGCGUCAUCAAAUCCAACUGCAAGCUACACGACAAGCUAUGAUUGAAUACCAUGUACAACUGACCUGCUGAU